GCCCUGUGAAACGACCAGCAUUCACAUUCACUGUCUUUCCUCCGUCGUAGCAAGACCCACCCGGGCAGACUUGCGCGAUUAAGGAAGGCAUCUGAUGUCUAUAUUUUUUGUCAGAUAUUUUUUGAUUUUAAGCAUUAUAUCGCUUUUACUCAAAUUAUUAAAUAGUGAUUUUAUUCAUACCUAUUCGUAGCUCUAACAUUUCCUUACCCCAAGCUCUAGUAUGCACAAACAAAAUUCGACGUUGGCUUUGUUCCGUGGCUUAUAUAAGUCUGGCACAGUUCGGGCGCAAGACUGCCAGUGUUUGCGAGUUGCGGUUGCGGGAACACUGAUCGUUCACGAUUUUAAGACUAUUUCAGAGUGUUACUUCGUUCAUUUUUUUUUUCGCACAUAGGAUCUUCAACCCCGGGCGGCGGGCUGUACUGUAUAUCGUACAAGUAUUUCUCGACGAUGUUUGUGUCGCACAGUGUGUUGAUGAGUUAAUAACAAUGUACAUUUGACUAUUUGCGGUUGCGGGAACACUGAUCAUCACGUCUGUAUUAAAUAUUUGUGUAUUUUAUUUAUUUUUUUAUAUUCCCGUAUCACGCGAUCAACAGUCGUUUGUAGGAAUACAUUAUUCGUGAGUGUUCCACUAAGUUUCCCAAAUAUAUCCUACAAUCUGUGAAACAUUAUCGACAGUCGUCAUAGAGUCUUUUAGGACAGCAGGAAAGCGUUUGGUUUUCAAUUGUUUGGGGCAGAUUUCAUGUUAACAGAAAAUUUAGAACCAUGGUUAAUAGAAAUUAAUAGUAGUCCUGGCUUGAAUCCAACUACGAGUAUCAUUGCAAGAAUUGCAUCGGCGUUAUUAACAGAUAUCAUCAAAGUUACGGUGGAUUUCCCACUUAAUUCAAAUGCAGAUACUGGACUUUUCGAGAACAUUUACACUGACUAACUUGUGAAACAUUGUAACACGGAGAAAAACAUUACAAAAGAAUAUUAUUACCACCAGUCGCCCCAAAAAACAAAACAAUUAAAUAAACAAAGCCACAAAGACACUGAACAGAAGAAAAAGAAAAUUGCGAGAUAAAUACUUUAAUAUGUAGGUAAGAGAUUAUCGAUUUAUUUAAAUUUUAAAAUGUCAUUUUCGGAAUAUAGAAUUUUGUAAAUACUCAAAAAAAUUUCUCCUGUGAAGCGGUCAAUUAUGGUCAUGUAUUUUAACUCAUCACGGAAAUUAAUAUUUAAAAACCCCAGUGAAAUAAUAAAAAGUAAUUGAAUUUGACGUUCUUAAAGUCUUACUUUAGACGUAUAGCACUAUGUAUAUAUAUUUAACAUAAUGUAUUAAUACAUAAAGCGACUAGCAAGCUGACUCCUCCGUAGUAUAGUGGUAAGUAUCCCCGCCUGUCACGCGGGAGACCGGUGUUCGAUUCCCCGCCGGGGAGCCAUUUGACGCAUCAAAUUUACGCGUCAUUUUUGCGGUCAUAGGAGAGAUAUCGAGAAUUAAGUUGAAAAAAUUACGCACGGUACGGCAUUUGAACCCGCGACCCACGAGACUGGGGUGACAAUCUCGUAACAAUGAGCCACCGCGGUCUUAUCAACUUAACCUCGAUAUUCUCCUAUAUCUGGGCCUGAGUGGCAGUGUGUACGGCUGAGGAGAAGCGCAGGCGCUAGGGCCAUGUCAAAGCCGCGAGGUACAUAAAUAUAAGGUUAUUGUGUUGAAUUUUAUUUAUUAUCCUAGUUUUAUGCAUUUGAUUUUGUAAAACCAAAAAAGAAAAGCUAAAAGCAUACACGGGGUGAUUCUUUUACCAUGAACCAUUCAUUAUUUCAAAAAGUAUUCAUGUUUUUGAAAACAUUUUUUUACAUAGUUUCAAGUUGUUAAAAAUUCAACGUUUUUAUUAAAAAAUUAUAUUUUUAAAUAUUUUUUAUCCUUAUAUUUUUUUAAUUUUUUUACUUUUUUGGAUGACAAAAUAGAGUUUUAAUUUCAUAUUCUAAAGUAAAAUAAUUUUUUGAUUAGUAUUUUGAUACAUAUAAAUUGAAUUUAAAGUUUAGACAAACUGAGUAGUGGACUCCACUCCGCACAUCUAAACGUUGAAUACUUAUAACUAACUCAUAAACUACUUGCCCCAAAUUCGAUUUUUAUGUAUUAAAAUACUCAAAACAUUGUUCUGCUUUGGAAUAUGAAAUUAAAACUACGAAGUCAUUCAAAAAAGUAUGAAAACUUAAAAAAAAUAAGGAUAAAAAAUAUUUAAAAACAUAUUUUUUUAAAUAAAACGUUGAUUUUUUUAACAACUUGAAACAAUGUAAAAAAAUAUUUUCAAAAACAUGAGUACUUUUGAAAUAAUGAGCGGUUCAUGAUAAAAAAAAUCGCCCUGUAUAUGCUUUUAGUUUGUCUUUUUUGGUUUUACAAAAUCAAAUGCAUAAAACUAAAAUAUAGUAAAUAAAAUUCAACACAAUAACCUUAUAUUUAUGUACCUCGCGGCUUGCUAGUCGCUUUAUGUAUUAAUAUAUUAUGUUAUAUAGUUACAUAGUGCUAUACGUCUAGGUGAGAUCUUAAGAACGUUUAUUCAAUUACUUUUUAUUAUUUCGCUGAGGUUUUAAAAUAUUAACUUACCGUGAUGAGUUAAAAUACAUGACCAUAAUUGACCGCUUUACAGGAGAAAUUUUUUUGAGUAUUUACAAAAUUCUAUAUUUCAAAAAUGACCUUUGAAUAACAUUCUAAAUUUGAAUAAAUCAAUAAUCUCUUACACGAAAUAAUACUGCACAUAUGUAUAUAAAUCUAGUAUAAUAUAAUUAUUAGGACUAAGAUUGAAAUAUAAUGAAAAAUUGUACCUGAGACAU